GUGCUUGCUUCGGCAGCACGUAUACUAAAAUUGGAACGAUAUAGAGAAGAUUAGCACGGUCCCCGCACAAAGGAUGACACGAAAUUCAUAAAGUGUUUUGCAUUUAA